rnacentral:rRNA from 1 species
UACGGAGGGUGCAAGCGUUAUCCGGAUUCACUGGGUUUAAAGGGUGCGUAGGUGGGCAAGUAAGUCAGUGGUGAAAUCUCCGGGCUUAACCCGGAAACUGCCAUUGAUACUAUUUGUCUUGAAUACUGUGGAGGUCAGCGGAAUAUGUCAUGUAGCGGUGAAAUGCUUAGAUAUGACAUAGAACACAAUUGCGAAGGCAGCUGGCUACACAAAUAUUGACACUGAGGCACGAAAAGCGUGGGGAUCAAACAGG